GUCCACGCCGUAAACGAUGGAUACUAGCUGUUGGGCGCAAGUUCAGUGGCUAAGCGAAAGUGAUAAGUAUCCCACCUGGGGAGUACGUUCGCAAGAAUGAAACUCAAAGGAAUUGACGGGGGCCCGCACAAGCGGUGGAGCAUGUGGUUUAAUUCGAUGAUACGCGAGGAACCUUACCAAGGCUUAAAUGUAGAUUGACAGGACUGGAAACAGUUUUUUCUUCGGACAAUUUACAAGGUGCUGCAUGGUUGUCGU
rnacentral:rRNA from 1 species